rnacentral:rRNA from 1 species
CCUACGGGUGGCUGCAGUGGGGAAUAUUGGGCAAUGGGCGCAAGCCUGACCCAGCAACGCCGCGUGAAGGAAGAAGGCUUUCGGGUUGUAAAAUUCUUUUCUCAGGGACGAAGCAAGUGACGGUACCUGAGCAAUAAGCCAAGGCUAACUACGUGCCAGCAGCCGCGGUAAUACGUAGGUGGCAAGCGUUAUCCGGAUUUACUGGGUGUAAAGGGCGUGUAGGCGGGAAAGCAAGUCAGAUGUGAAAACCAUGGGCUCAACCUGUAGACUGCAUUUGACACUGGUUUUCUUGAGUACUGGAGAGGCAGGCGGAAUUCCUAGUGUAGCGGUGAAAUGCGUAGAUAUUAGGAGGAACACCAGUGGCGAAGGCGGUCUGCUGGACUGCAACUGACGCUGAGGCGCGAAAGCGUGGGGAGCAAACAGGAUUAGAUACCCGGGUAGUC